GCGCCCGUAGCUCAAUUGGAUAGAGCAUUUGCCUUCGGAGCAAAGGGUUACAGGUUCAACUCCUGUCGGGCGCA
rnacentral:tRNA from 1 species